GGCAUCGGCUGGCAAUCAAAGGAGCAAUCCGCUGAAGAUGGGCUCGCGUCUGAUUAGAUAGUUGGUGAGGUAACGGCCCACCAAGUCGACGAUCAGUAGCCGGACUGAGAGGUUGAUCGGCCACAUUGGGACUGAGACACGGGCCCAAACUCCUACGGGAGGCAGCAUGGGGAAUAUUGCACAAUGGGGAAACCUGAUGCAGCGACGCCGCGUGAGUGAUGAAGUAUUUCGGUAUGUAAAACUCUAUCAGCAGGGAAGAUAAUGACGGUACCUGACUAAGAAGCACCGGCUAAAUACGUG
rnacentral:rRNA from 1 species